rnacentral:siRNA from 1 species
UACCGCGAAGUAAAUUUCACAUU